UACGGGGGGGGCAAGCGUUGUUCGGAAUUACUGGGCGUAAAGGGCGCGUAGGCGGUCCGUUAAGUUAGGUGUGAAAACUCUGGGCUCAACCCAGAGCCUGCAUCUAAUACUGACGGGCUAGAGUUCUGGAGGGGGUAGCGGAAUUCCUGGUGUAGCGGUGAAAUGCGUAGAUAUCAGGAGGAACACCGGUGGCGAAGGCGGCUACCUGGACAGAAACUGACGCUGAGGCGCGAAAGCUAGGGGAGCAAACAGG
rnacentral:rRNA from 1 species